rnacentral:rRNA from 1 species
GACGAACGCUGGCGGCGUGCCUAAUACAUGCAAGUUGAGCGCUGAAGGUUGGUACUUGUACCAACUUGAUGAGCAGCGAACGGGUGAGUAACGCGUGGGGAAUCUGCCUUUGAGCGGGGGACAACAUUUGGAAACGAAUGCUAAUACCGCAUAAAAACUUUAAACAUAAGUUUUAAGUUUGAAAGAUGCAAUUGCAUCACUCAAAGAUGAUCCCGCGUUGUAUUAGCUAGUUGGUGAGGUAAAGGCUCACCAAGGCGAUGAUACAUAGCCGACCUGAGAGGGUGAGCGGCCACAAUGGGACGGAGACACGGCACAAACUCCUACGGGAGGCAGCAGGAGGGAAGCGUCGGCAAGGGACGAAAGGCUGACCGAGCAACGCCGCAGGAGUGAAGAAGGUUGUCGGAUCGUAAAUAUCGGUUGGUAGAGAAGAACGUGGGUGAGAGUGGAAAGCUCAUCAAGUGACGGUAACUGCUCAAAAAGGGACGGCUAACUACGUG